UACGUGGGGGGCAAGCGUUGUCCGGAAUCAUUGGGCGUAAAGCGCGUGUAGGCGGCCCGGUAAGUCCGCUGUGAAAGUCGGGGGCUCAACCCUCGAAUGCCGGUGGAUACUGUCGGGCUAGAGUACGGAAGAGGCGAGUGGAAUUCCUGGUGUAGCGGUGAAAUGCGCAGAUAUCAGGAGGAACACCAAUUGCGAAGGCAGCUCGCUGGGACGUUACUGACGCUGAGACGCGAAAGCGUGGGGAGCAAACAGG
rnacentral:rRNA from 1 species